rnacentral:rRNA from 1 species
UAUGCUUGCAUAAAUGAUUUUUGGAUUCGGAGCGAGUGGCGAACUGGUGAGUAACACGUGGGUAACCUGCCCCGAAGCGGGGGAUAACAUUUGGAAACAAGUGCUAAUACCGCAUAAUUAGUUGGAACCGCAUGGUUCCAACUUGAAAGAUGGCUCUGCUAUCACUUUGGGAUGGACCCGCGCCGUAUUAGUUAGUUGGUGAGAUAAAAGCCCACCAAGACGAUGAUACGUAGCCGACCUGAGAGGGUAAUCGGCCACAUUGGGACUGAGACACGGCCCAGACUCCUACGGGAGGCAGCAGUAGGGAAUCUUCCACAAUGGACGAAAGUCUGAUGGAGCAACGCCGCGUGAGUGAUGAAGGUUUUCGGAUCGUAAAACUCUGUUGUUAAAGAAGAACAAGUGUUAGAGUAACUGUUAACACUUUGACGGUAUUUAACCAGAAAGCCACGGCUAACUACGUGCCAGCAGCCGCGGUAAUACGUAGGUGGCAAGCGUUGUCCGGAUUUAUUGGGCGUAAAGCGAGCGCAGGCGGUUUUGUAAGUCUGCUGUGAAAGCCCUCAGCUCAACUGAGGAAGUGCAGUGGAAACUACAAAACUUGAGUACAGAAGAGGAAAGUGGAACUCCAUGUGUAGCGGUGAAAUGCGUAGAUAUAUGGAAGAACACCAGUGGCGAAGGCGGCUUUCUGGUCUGUUACUGACGCUGAGGCUCGAAAGCAUGGGUAGCGAACAGGAUUAGAUACCCUGGUAGUCCAUGCCGUAAACGAUGAAUACUAGGUGUUUGGAAGGGUUUCCGCCCUUCAGUGCCGCAGCUAACGCAUUAAGUAUUCCGCCCUGGGGAGUACGACCGCAAGGUUGAAACUCAAAGGAAUUGACGGGGGCCCGCACAAGUGGUGGARCAUGUGGUUUAAUUCGAUGCUACGCGAAGAACCUUACCAGCUCUUGACAUCUUCUGCCAACCCAAGAGAUUGGGCGUUCCCUUCGGGGACAGAAUGACAGGUGGUGCAUGGUUGUCGUCAGCUCGUGUCGUGAGAUGUUGGGUUAAGUCCCGCAACGAGCGCAACCCUUAUUAUUAGUUGCCAGCAUUUAGUUGGGCACUCUAGUGAGACUGCCGGUGAUAAACCGGAGGAAGGUGGGGACGACGUCAAAUCAUCAUGCCCCUUAUGAGCUGGGCUACACACGUGCUACAAUGGAUGGUACAACGAGUCGCGAAACCGCGAGGUCAAGCUAAUCUCUUAAAGCCAUUCUCAGUUCGGAUUGCAGGCUGCAACUCGCCUGCAUGAAGUUGGAAUCACUAGUAAUCGUUGAUCAGCAUGCCACGGUGAAUACGUUCCCGGGCCUUGUACACACCGCCCGUCACACCAUGAGAGUUUGUAACACCCAAAG